CCUACGGGGGGCAGCAGUGGGGAAUAUUGGACAAUGGGCGAAAGCCUGAUCCAGCCAUGCCGCGUGUGUGAAGAAGGCCUUCGGGUUGUAAAGCACUUUCAGUGGGGAAGAAAGCCUUGGGGCUAAUACCCUCGAGGAAGGACAUCACCCACAGAAGAAGCACCGGCUAACUCCGUGCCAGCAGCCGCGGUAAUACGGAGGGUGCGAGCGUUAAUCGGAAUUACUGGGCGUAAAGCGCGCGUAGGCGGUCUGAUAAGCCGGUUGUGAAAGCCCCGGGCUCAACCCGGGAACGGCAUCCGGAACUGUCAGGCUAGAGUGCAGGAGAGGAAGGUAGAAUUCCCGGUGUAGCGGUGAAAUGCGUAGAGAUCGGGAGGAAUACCAGUGGCGAAGGCGGCCUUCUGGACUGACACUGACGCUGAGGUGCGAAAGCGUGGGUAGCAAACAGGAUUAGAUACCCUGGUAGUC
rnacentral:rRNA from 1 species